GUGGGGAAUAUUGGACAAUGGGCGCAAGCCUGAUCCAGCCAUGCCGCGUGAGUGAUGAAGGUCUUAGGAUUGUAAAGCUCUUUCACCGGUGAAGAUAAUGACGGUAACCGGAGAAGAAGCCCCGGCUAACUUCGUGCCAGCAGCCGCGGUAAUACGAAGGGGGCUAGCGUUGUUCGGAAUUACUGGGCGUAAAGCGCACGUAGGCGGAUAUUUAAGUCAGGGGUGAAAUCCCAGAGCUCAACUCUGGAACUGCCUUUGAUACUGGGUAUCUUGAGUAUGGAAGAGGUGAGUGGAAUUCCGAGUGUAGAGGUGAAAUUCGUAGAUAUUCGGAGGAACACCAGUGGCGAAGGCGGCUCACUGGCUCGAUACUGACGCUGAGGUGCGAAAGCGUGGGGAGCAAACAGGAUUAGAUACCCUUGUAGUCC
rnacentral:rRNA from 1 species